rnacentral:rRNA from 1 species
GAUUGACGGACUGAAGGCUCUUUCUCGAUUCCGUGGAAAGUGGUGCAUGGCCGUUUUUGGUUGGUGGAUCGAUCCGUCUGGUUAAUUCCGUUAACGAACGAGACCUCGGCACUCCGAAUAGCGCGGCGGACGUCGCGGCCUCCGGGCCGUCUUCCGCACGAGCUUCUUAGAGGGACCGUCCCCCGCCGGGGAAGGAGGUGCGAGGCAACGACAGGUCUGUGAUGCCCUUAGAUGUUCUGGGCCGCACGCGCAUUACACUGACGCGUCCAACGGGUGACUCCCGACCCGAAGGGGCCGGGGAAUCCGCAAGGCGCGUCGUGAUGGGGAUUGAACGUUGCAAUUGUUGUUCACGAACGAGGAAUUCCUAGUAGGCGCGGGUCAUCAACCCGCGCCGAUUACGUCCCUGCCCUUUGUACACACCGCCC